rnacentral:rRNA from 1 species
AGUGAACGCUGGCGGUAGGCCUAGCACAUGCAAGUCGAACGGCAGCACAGUAAGAGCUUGCUCUUACGGGUGGCGAGUGGCGGACGGGUGAGGAAUACAUCGGAAUCUACUUUUUCGUGGGGGAUAACGUAGGGAAACUUACGCUAAUACCGCAUACGACCUACGGGUGAAGGCAGGGGAUCUUCGGACCUUGCGCGAUUGAAUGAGCCGAUGUCGGAUUAGCUAGUUGGCGGGGUAAAGGCCCACCAAGGCGACGAUCCGUAGCUGGUCUGAGAGGAUGAUCAGCCACACUGGAACUGAGACACGGUCCAGACUCCUACGGGAGGCAGCAGUGGGGAAUAUUGGACAAUGGGCGCAAGCCUGAUCCAGCCAUACCGCGUGGGUGAAGAAGGCCUUCGGGUUGUAAAGCCCUUUUGUUGGGAAAGAAAAGCAGCAGGUUAAUACCCCGCUGUUCUGACGGUACCCAAAGAAUAAGCACCGGCUAACUUCGUG